ACUCAACUGAGGGGUCUCAAAUACGACGGAACGCGCGUCCUGGAU
rnacentral:hammerhead_ribozyme from 1 species